UUAACACAUGCAAGUUGUACGGAAACUUUUAAGUUUUAGUAGCGGACGGGUGAGUAACGCGUGAGAAUUUGCCUUUAGGAGGGGAACAACAGUUAGAAAUGAUUGCUAAUGCCCCAUAUGCUUUUUGAAGUGAAAUGGAUUAUUAUCCGCCUGAAGAGAAGCUCGCGUCUGAUUAGCUAGUUGGUAAGGUAAUGGCUUACCAAGGCGACGAUCAGUAGCUGGUUUGAGAGGAUGAUCAGCCACACUGGAACUGAGACACGGUCCAGACUCU
rnacentral:rRNA from 1 species